rnacentral:rRNA from 1 species
AUCGAUGAAGAACGCAGCGAAAUGCGAUAAGUAAUGUGAAUUGCAGAAUUCAGUGAAUCAUCGAAUCUUUGAACGCACCUUGCGCCCUUUGGCCAUUCCGAAGGGCAUGCCUGUUUGAGUAUCAUGAACACCUCAACUCUUCAUGGUUUUCCRUGAUGAGCUUGGACUUUGGGGGUUUUGCUGGCCUAUGGUCAGCUCCUCUAAAAUGAAUCAGCUUGCCAGUGUUUGGUGGGCAUCACAGGUGUGAUAACUAUCUACGCUUGUGGUUUUCCCACCAGGUAACCUUCAGCAGUGGAGGUUCACUGGAGCUCACAGAUGUCUCUCCUCAGUGAGGACAGCCCUUUGAAUGUUUGAUCUCAAAUCAGGUAGGACUACCCGCUGAACUUAAGCAUAUCAAUAAGCGGAGGAAAAGAAACUAACAAGGAUUCCCCUAGUAACUGCGAGUGAAGCGGGAAGAGCUCAAAUUUAAAAUCUGGCGUGCCUCUGGUCGUCCGAGUUGUAGUCUGGAGAAGUGUUUUCCGUGUUGGACCGUGUACAAGUCCCUUGGAACAGGGCGUCAUAGAGGGUGAGAAUCCCGUCUUUGACACGGACUACCAAUGCUUUGUGAUGCGCUCUCAAAGAGUCGAGUUGUUUGGGAAUGCAGCUCAAAAUGGGUGGUAAAUUCCAUCUAAAGCUAAAUAUAGGCGAGAGACCGAUAGCGAACAAGUACCGUGAGGGAAAGAUGAAAAGCACUUUGGAAAGAGAGUUAAACAGUACGUGAAAUUGCUGAAAGGGAAACGCUUGAAGUCAGUCACGUCUGCCAGGACUCAGCCUCGCUUCUGCUUGGUGCACUUUCUGGUUUGAUGGGCCAACAUCAAUUUUGACCGCUGGAGAAAGGCAUUGGGAAUGUGGCACCUUCGGGUGUGUUAUAGCCCUUUGUUGUAUGCAACGGUUGGGAUUGAGGACUGCAGCACGCCUUCAUGGCCGGGGUUCGCCCACGUAUGUGCUUAGGAUGUUGGCAUAAUGGCUUUAAGCGACCCGUCUUGAAACACGG